rnacentral:rRNA from 1 species
AUGACCUUGUCGGAAGGGAAGGGCCACAUGUGCUGCGUGGAGCCGGUGUCAUGGUUGUCCACGAAGGUCACCGCCUUGGCUGGCCACCACCCGAUCAUGCCUGGCGCCUUGCCGUCGGUGCCGCGCAGCCGCCACAGCUCGCCCUCCACAGCCACGUUGAGGAUGCCUUUGGUGGUGAAGUCGAACGUGGUGCCGGGGCCGGAGCCGCCCACCUUGUUCACCCAGUUCACCAGCUCCUGCCGGUGCUGGUCCUGGUUGAGGUUGGGCUUGCCGUCCCCGCCGUACGCCAGCGACGUCCAUAUCUCGGCCACGGCGAAGCUGGGCUCCGAGCGGUCGAUGUAG